AGAUUGAACGCUGGCGGCAGGCCUAACACAUGCAAGUCGAGCGGUAGAGAGGUGCUUGCAUCUCUUGAGAGCGGCGGACGGGUGAGUAAUGCCUAGGAAUCUGCCUAGUGGUGGGGGAUAACGUUCGGAAACGGACGCUAAUACCGCAUACGUCCUACGGGAGAAAGCGGGGGACCUUCGGGCCUCGCGCCAUUAGAUGAGCCUAGGUCGGAUUAGCUAGUUGGUAGAGGUAAUGGCUCACCAAGGCGACGAUCCGUAACUGGUCUGAGAGGAUGAAUCAAGUCACACGUGGAACUGAAGACACGGUCCAGACUCCGUACGGGAGCAGCAGGUGGGAAUAGUUGGAACAAGUGGGACGAAAGCCUGACUCCAGCCAUCGCCGCGUGUGUAGAAAGUAAGGUCGUUACGGAUUAGG
rnacentral:rRNA from 1 species